GCUCAGAACGAACGCUGGCGGCAGGCCUAACACAUGCAAGUCGAGCGAACCCUUCGGGGUUAGCGGCGGACGGGUGAGUAACGCGUGGGAAUAUGCCCUUCUCUACGGAAUAGUCUCGGGAAACUGGGGGUAAUACCGUAUACGCCCUUUGGGGGAAAGAUUUAUCGGAGAAGGAUUAGCCCGCGUUGGAUUAGGUAGUUGGUGGGGUAAUGGCCUACCAAGCCUACGAUCCAUAGCUGGUUUGAGAGGAUGAUCAGCCACACUGGGACUGAGACACGGCCCAGACUCCUACGGGAGGCAGCAGUGGGGAAUCUUAGACAAUGGGGGCAACCCUGAUCUAGCCAUGCCGCGUGAGUGAUGAAGGCCCUAGGGUUGUAAAGCUCUUUCAGCUGGGAAGAUAAUGACGGUACCAGCAGAAGAAGCCCCGGCUAACUCCGUGCCAGCAGCCGCGGUAAUACGGAGGGGGCUAGCGUUGUUCGGAAUUACUGGGCGUAAAGCGCACGUAGGCGGACCAGCAAGUUAGGGGUGAAAUCCCGGGGCUCAACCCCGGAACUGCCCUUAAAACUGUUGAUCUUGAGUUCGAGAGAGGUGAGUGGAAUUCCGAGUGUAGAGGUGAAAUUCGUAGAUAUUCGGAGGAACACCAGUGGCGAAGGCGGCUC
rnacentral:rRNA from 1 species